UACGUAGGGUGCAAGCGUUAAUCGGAAUUACUGGGCGUAAAGCGUGCGCAGGCGGUUUGUUAAGUCUGCUGUGAAAUCCCCGAGCUCAACUUGGGAAUUGCAGUGGAUACUGGCAAGCUGGAGUACGGUAGAGGAAGGUGGAAUUCCCGGUGUAGCAGUGAAAUGCGUAGAGAUCGGGAGGAACACCAGUGGCGAAGGCGGCCUUCUGGACCAGUACUGACGCUCAUGCACGAAAGCGUGGGGAGCAAACAGG
rnacentral:rRNA from 1 species